rnacentral:rRNA from 1 species
CAGUCGCCGCGGUAACACGAACCGUGCGAACGUUAUUCGGAAUCACUGGGCUUAAAGCGCGUGUAGGCGGGCCGCCACGUCGGCUGCUGAAAUCCCCCGGCUCAACCGGGGAAGUGGCACCGAUACGAGCGGCCUCGAGGGGGGUAGGGGGGACUGGAACUUCCGGUGGAGCGGUGAAAUGCGUUGAGAUCGGAAGGAACGCCCGUGGCGAAAGCGAGUCCCUGGACCCUUUCUGACGCUGAGACGCGAAAGCCAGGGGAGCGAACGGGAUUAGAUACCCGGGUAGUCCCUGUCUCUUAUA